AAUGGAACUAUUGGAACUUGUCACUUUACCCCAAUUGAAUAUGCUCAUGUUACACAUGUUAUGACAAUCUUUUAUCGCCUCUGUUGGCAACUUAAGCAAACUUGAUGUGCCAUUUUCCAGAUUAUAAGACAUUAUAUAUGGAUCAUAAAAAGCACUAGAUUUCGUAAAGUAAAUAGCACUAUCCGAGAUAACAUGAAUGGCUUUGUUAUGAAACACAGCCAUGUCAAAUUUCAUGUCUCUUCCACCGAGGGAAAAACUAUUUACCAUUGUUUUCCAUGCACCUUCUUUUCCAUGAUAAACAUUGCAUAUGUAAGUUGGUGACCAUUCCUUGAAAUUUGUCUCUUUAAACAAAAGCACCGAGUAAUCAUCUAGGUUGCUACGGGAGCAGUCUAACAUGAUAUUGAUAUUUGCAAAAUUAUCGUUUAUUUGAAGUGACUCUGGGAUAGGAAUCGAAGACCGAGACUUUGUGAUUGGGUUACAAAUGAACAAGUCAAGUGAGUCAUCAUUAAUGGUGCGGCAAAGAACCAAACCAUUACAAGAAGCUAAGACAGAAACUGAAUUUGAUAGGAAUGUAAGAACAUUAUUAGGAACACCAGAAGAUUGUUUCUCUUUAGGUAAAGAAUGUAACUCGACUCUUUUUCGAACUUUUGCCUUGUUUUCUCGGGUUGAAUGAAGAAACAUGUGUCAUCCUUCCGCAACAAAUUACGAGUUUGCUUUGUUUUAAAAGUGGUUUCUUGUGAAAAUUUAGAGAAUGUCUCGCAAGUUGAAUUGAACUUACAAAUACUUUUUGCCGGUAGCCAUGAGAAUAUCUCAAAAGCAAUGUCAUGAGGUACUUCCAUGUUGUUGAGAAGGAAAAAGAAAACAAAGUGAGAAUACUAAAAACAGCAAGUGUGAUUAGAAAGUGUGAAGUGAGGGAAACUAUAUUUGGUACACUCAUAUAUAGUUGAAAUAUGAACCCUAAAAUAAAUCUCAAACAAUAUCUACUAAAAUAUCUUUUAAAAAGAUAAGAUUUNNNNNNNNNNNNNNNNNNGAUUAAUGAAAAUAAGGGGAUUUUCAAAAAAAAAAAAAACAUCUGCAUUUAUUACGGUGACAAACUUUUUAUUGUUUUACUGGAAUGGUAACAAACUAAAAGAUUUUUUUUUAGCUUGUUAAAGCAAGUCAAAAUAAAUUUAUCACAUUUAAUUAGAUCCAUUCCUUAUCNNNNNNNNNNNNNNNNNNNNAUUUUGUUAUCUUUUUAACAGCAAGCACUGCAUUUAAUGCACAAUUAGGGUUUCUUACCCAUUAUAUAUAUUGAUCCUUUUAUUCAGAGUAGUUAACACUGAAUGUUUGUCGCUCAAGAUACAUCAUUAAAGUAUUAAACCAUUAAACCAAAUUAGGCAAAAUUCAAGAUUUCAAGAAUCGCAACUUAGUCUUCACAUUAUUCUUCAAUAGUAAGCUAUCCAAUACCCAUUCCGUUCACGCUCCCAUUACACAAGACAACAUGAAAGAAACCAAAUUAAGCAAGAAUCAAAGUUUCAAGAAUCUCAACUUGAAACAUAGAAGUUCUCUAGUUUUCAAGAUAAAAACCAAAGUCAGUGUCUUCACUCCUGAUGAACAUGAUGCAGCUGAUGGUCUAGUUUUGUUGCAAAACCUAUUACAAAAGAAGGAGGUUAUUAGAAAAUUCAAAAUAACUUUUCGUGGCAAAAAGAUUUGUGAAAGAAUCUACAACAACAAUAGGUCGAUCGUUUCUUGCCAUUGUUAAAAGAAGGUGAAGAUGUUGAAGAAGGAAUAUAUGUCACCGCAUAUGACAUGCACGGCAAAGUGUUCAACAUGAAUUUCAAAUUAAAGAGUAUAUAGACUUAAAGUAUAGGAAUUUGAUGAAUCAUUGUAGUAAGAUUUUCAUAAAUUAUUAAUUACUGAGUUAGUUUUAAGACUUCUUUAUUUUUUGUUGCAUUCUUGAAGUGUUCAUAACACUACAUACAACUUUGUUUUGUAAUUAUGUCGAUGCAACCGAUCAAUAUAUGAAUUGAGACUCACAGUAUUUUCUUUUAUCUUGAUAUUUUUAGGUCUUUUAUUAUUUUGCUUAUUACUUAUUUUUGUUCUUCAAUAAGCGCUUAUAACUUGUCAUUAAUUAACACGCUUCUUUGGUAUUAGUGGAUAAACAAAUUAAUAACUAGGAAUGGUAUACUGAUAAUUUCUUAUCUGUCCUGAAUCAACUUAUAUUACAUCUAAUCCAAAGUAUUCUAUUUGUUUUCUCUACCCAAACUUAAGCAAUUGGUUAAACUAACAGCCACAUUUUUCAUUCCUAAUUAAUUUUAGUCCAUUAGGGACAUUACGGUGUCCCAAAAGUGUCCGAAAACACAUAAUAGGGUAAAACAGGGCUGUCAAAGGCACUUUAGCGCACUGGCUGCGCUUUAAGCGCGCGGUUGCAGGGGACACACACUGUUGUCUGCACUCUAGGCGCAGGAACUGCUGCUGUGUUUUCCUGCACAGUUUUCUGAUAUGUUAGCUAAUUAAUCCGGUCCAANNNNNNNNNNNNNNNNNNNNNNNNNNNNNNNNNNNNNNNNNNNNNNNNNNNNNNNNNNNNNNNNNNNNNNNNNNNNNNNNNNNNNNNNNNNNNNNNNNNNNNNNNNNNNNNNNNNNNNNNNNNNNNNNNNNNNNNNNNNNNNNNNNNNNNNNNNNNNNNNNNNNNNNNNNNNNNNNNNNNNNNNNNNNNNNNNNNNNNNNNNNNNNNNNNNNNNNNNNNNNUCUAUAUGAAGCAGCAAAACCACAUAGAACUACACACCAAAACCGUGUAUCAAAGUAGUAAAUAAUCCAAUAUUAUUUAUCAAAACUGCGAAUAAUCCAAUAUUAUUUUAAAAAGAAUAAACUAUCUAUACGAAGCAGGGUGGUAUUACCAAUAUGAAGCAGCAAAACCACAUAGAACUACAGGGUGGUAUUACCUAUUAGAAGUGAACUGAAAAGAAUAAACAAAGAACAACAUCAAAGAACUUAAACGCUCUAGUCUCUACCACAUUUUCAUGAAGCGAAAGUUAUAUGCACAUAACAACUAUAGAAGUGGUACGAAUCUUAGAAUGAGAAGAGAACCCCAAAAUAUCCAAACUUGUGAAAUAUGAGUAAGAAACAAAUAACUAGUUUGUACAUGGAAUAAAGAGAGUCCUGUCAAAGUCAUUUACACCUGAAUAUGUACCAACAACAAAAGUAGUGUGAAAAAGUUCAGCAAAAUCUCUUCUAACUUGUGGAUAAUCAAACUUCAAAAAACCUAUAACUACAAUAGCCACCACCAUCAAGGGACUUGGACAGGAAGCACCCUAACUGUUAAUGAUCAUGCCAAGCACAAAACAGGUUUACCGAAACCGCAAAAAAAUGCAUUCAACUAAUAAUAAAUGAAAAGACUAAAGCAAUUUUUGAUCUAUUUACCGAAACACACACAAACACAUCAUAAUUCAGCUACUUAGUUCAACUAGUUAAGAUUAUUGUGUCUAUACUAUGGACAGAUAUAUCAUCAUUGAAACAAAUUUCACAACCAAAAAUCACAUCAUAAUUCAACAAAAAUUCAAAAAUGUCAACAAAAAUUAUUUAGGCUAUAUUUCAAUUCAAUAUAGUUCAACUUGCACUCUUAACCCUAAUUUCUUAAUUAAUCUUCACUCUUAACAGAUUUUUUAGUAAUAUCAGAAAUCACAUUUGCAAAAAACACUUAAUCAAACACAACAAUGACCUAAAAUCACCAACAUGCAACAUGCAAACACAAAUCGCACUUCGAUAUAAGCUCAGAGAAGAGAGAGAGAGAGAGAGAGAGAUAUUUCAUUUACAGUGUGGACUCUUCAGUGUGUAAGAAACGAAAAUUGUGCUCAGAAGAAGAAGAAACGAAAUCUUCAAGUCCGAUUUAGCUCCGAUGAAGAUGAAACAAAUAUUCAAUCCGAUUUAGCUCCGAUGAAGAAGAAGAAGAAACGAAAUCAUCAAGUAUGAUUUAGCUCCGAAUAAGUGAUCUUGCUCCGAAUAAGUGAUUUUGCUGAGAGUUUGCAUUUAAGCGAUUUUGAGUUGAUUUUGUUGGGAAUGUAAAGCGAGUUGAAACAUUGUUGGGAAAGGGAUUUUGGUGGGAAUGCGACUUUGUGAGCGGGAAAGUAAUUUCCAGAAAAGCGCUUUUGUGUGUCAUUUUCACAAAGCAAAUUUCACUGUCACCAGUUACUACAAAAACACAAUAAUCUUUAAUUGCUUUUGUCUGCGCUUUUUUAUUUCCAGAAUUAUAGUUGAUUGACAUUAUCAAAACAAUGUUCAAAAAAUAAAAAUUCUUUAUAAAAAAUUAAUAAAAAGUCAAACAUGAAAUUACAAGGAAAUAAAGUAAAUAAAAAAAGUUCAUGUUAACUUGUGCUCUAGUGAAAUGUUAAGCUACCUAAAAAUAGAAAUAUAACAUUUAAUGAUAUAACAAAUUUAAUGUUUAAGGAAUUGAAUUACAAGUUCAAUAAAUUUUUUCCACAUUUAUCUUGUUAUCAUGUGCCCUAACAUGUGCCCUUAACACACACGUUAACAUUCUUUAAUAAAAAAUAUUAUAUUAAAGUCUUCAAUUUUGUCAAAAAGAAUAAAAAAUAAAACGUCUUAUUAAACACAUUAAGUGACCCUUGCUACUACGAAGUAUAUAAAUAAACUUCACUCUCACCACAAAACACAAACAUAAAUCAUUGAUUCUGCUUCUUACUCUUCUGUGCAAAACUUUAGAUUUUUUAAAAUAGGGGAUCAAAAGUGUAUUAAAGCCAUUAAUUUUUAACUUAUAUCGAAUAAGUUAACUGAUUAAAUUUGUAUUGUUUGGUAAAAUUAACGAUUGAAUUAGUAUUUAAUUAAUAUUUAAUUUUUUUCAUGUAAGAUGAUAUGGAUAAAAUUGGAAAAAAAAAUAAGUUAUAAGCUCAUAGGCUCUGUUUGGAAAGCACAAAUAAGUUAGCUUAUAGCUUAUUUUACUAGCUUAAAGCUUACUCUCUCCAUCCCAAAAUAUAAGCAAAAAAUGAUCAACAAAAGUGAAUGUAUUUGAUCCAAAUCUUUAACCAAAUACAUCAAAUUUCUUUGACUCAUUUUUGCUUAUAUUUUGGGACGGAGAGAGUAUUUUUCAGACGAUAUUUCAAUUAGCUUAUGAGCUUAUAGCUUAUAUUUUUUCUUUCAUUUUUACCCUUGUUAUUUUAUGUAAAUUUUAUGUAAAAUUCAACUUUACCUUUUAUAAUUUAUUAUGACUUAAAAAAUUUUGUAUAUUUUAGUGAAUAUAAACCAUACUACUCCCUCCGUUUCAAAUUACUUAUUGUUUUAGAAAAAAAAAAUUAUUUCAAAUUACUUGUCAUUUUGAUAAUUUAAGGUUAUAUUUUAUCUAUCAUAUCCUCAUGUAAAUUCCAAAUAUUUAGGAGUAGUUACUAAAAAAAUAAAAAGUACUUGUCUUAUGUUAUGGUGAGUUUGUUAAUAAAAAAUUUUUGCUGCUAAAAAAAAAAAAACUUUUGUUAGGCUAAAUUGCAGUUUUGUCCCAACGUUUCCUAAUUGUGCGAUUUUGGUCCCUUAAUUUCAAACGAGCGGUUUCACUCGAGACAAUUCACUAUAUAAAUACACACUUAACUCUCACCACAAAACAUAACACGUAAAUAUUUGAUUUUGCUUCUUGCUUCUUCUCCCUUAAAAUCUAAUAUCACAAACACACUUUCACUCAACGCUCUUUUCUUUAUUAGCACCAUUAAACGAUCUUUUUCUGUCCAAUAAUUUAAUUUCUUCUCUCAUUAUUUCAUUCUAAAAAACUAUUGCAGAUCCAAUUCUUUUGUUAUUACAAUCAUGACUCAACACUCUUUUCUUUAUCAUCACCAUUAAACGAUAUUUUCUUUACAUCCGCUUUAUCCUGAUAAGUGGAAAUGGUUGCCAGAUACAUCUGCUUUAGAUAAGUGAAAAUAGUCAGAUAACUGUUUUAGAUCCUAAUGUGUUGACUGCUAUCAAACAUCUUUGGAGGAAUGAUGCCCCGUCCAAAGUUUUGGUUUUAGGUUGGUGGUUAUUUCUAAAAAGGUUACCUACGAGGUCGACGCUCAAUCGCAGAGGUAUUUUGCUUAACCUGCGUGACUUACCUUGCAUCUUUUGUUUUUUAUCUCAUGAAGAUUGUGCGCACUUAUUCUUUCAUUGUCCUUUUAGUAUAAGAAUGUGGGAAUUGGUGUGUAGUUGGAUAGGAAAGAGUAUUCCGCACGGGCUGAUGGAUGGAAUCAUUUUAAGUUGUUUGACGAGAUGAUUAAUUUGAAAGAAAAAAAAAGAAUGAAUUAAUCAUUUUGUUAUGGUUGGCAACAACGUGAAAUAUUUAGAAACUUUGAAAUAAUGUGAUUUUUUAUGGAGCCAUUCCGAAUGCUUCUUCAUUUUUGGAUGACAUCAAAGCUAUUACUUGGACGUGGGUGAAUGGUCGGUAUGGGCAUAAGUCUUGUAUCUCCUUUUCUAUUUGGUGCUUAGAUCCAUUGACUUGUAUCCAAAACAUAUGAUUACUUGUUUUGCUUUGUAAGGGAUUGAGUAUCCCUUGUACUCCCUUUUAUUAAUGUUAAUCUUUGCUUAUAAAAAAAAUAUUGGCAGUUAAAUAUAAGAUUUCAUCAUUAUGCAUUCACGGUGCUUUAUUUCGGUUAAUAUUUGAAGCCAGAGAAAAUUUGAAAAUAAGAAGUGAUAUAGUAAAAGACACUAAACAGAAAAUCAAGUUAAAAAAAAAGUUGAAUAAUAUUUUUACAUUGGAAGCUGAAUAACUAUUAUCAAGAGAGAUUAUUAUAUGAAAGCAAAAACCAAUAAUAAAUCCAAAAUUAAUACUAAAUGCCUUGAAUUAUAUUAAACGUUACAAGUUACAACUUCUCAAAAAUCCCCUAACAACUUACUAAACUUGGCAACAUAUAUAAUAUAACAACUAUAGUUGCAAUUCUCAUUAUUUUCUUGUGAAUAGAGCCUUUCUUUAAAGAGCCAUUUCGGUAGGUAUUAAAUUGAGUCAUUAGAGGAAAUGAAUAGCAGACCGCGAAAAGCAAUACAACAUCAACCCCUAACAAGGCAUAGUUUCAGCAUUAGUCCCACACGAGCGAAGAGUAUCCGAGUAUGCGAUAAAACGGGUGUUAGAUCCACAAUUGUGUUGGCAUAUUUCUUCAACCUUCGUAGAUUUCUCAUUGUCUAAACCACAACUAUAAACAUUUUUCUCCGUUGCAAACACUAAGAGAUCACCGUUCAUAAUGGUAAACCCGGUAACAAUAGGAUUUUCCUCCUUCAAUUCCAAUGCUUCCAAUCUCACUUCCAAAAGCUUUUCCCAUGAACUUGACUUAUAAUCUUUUAAAAUCCAAAUUGUAAAACCNNNNNNNNNNNNNNNNNNUGUGCCAUUUUCCAGAUUAUAAGACAUUAUAUAUGGAUCAUAAAAAGCACUUGAUUUCGUAAAGUAAAAAGCACUAUCCGAGAUAACAUGAAUGGCUUUGUUAUGAAACACAGCCAUGUCAAAUUUCAUGUCUCU
rnacentral:lncRNA from 1 species